rnacentral:rRNA from 1 species
UACGUAGGGGGCAAGCGUUGUCCGGAAUCAUUGGGCGUAAAGCGCGUGUAGGCGGCCAGAAAAGUCCGCUGUGAAAACUCGAGGCUCAACUUCGAGCUGUCGGUGGAAACUUUCUGGCUAGAGUCCGGAAGAGGAGAAUGGAAUUCCUGGUGUAGCGGUGAAAUGCGCAGAUAUCAGGAGGAACACCGAUAGCGAAGGCAGCUCGCUGGGACGGUACUGACGCUGAGGUGCGAAAGCGUGGGGAGCGAACAGG